AACGAACGCUGGCGGCAGGCUUAACACAUGCAAGUCGAACGCAUCGCAAGAUGAGUGGCAGACGGGUGAGUAACGCGUGGGAACAUACCCUUUUCUACGGAAUAGCUCUGGGAAACUGGAAUUAAUACCGUAUACGCCCUACGGGGGAAAGAUUUAUCGGGGAAGGAUUGGCCCGCGUUGGAUUAGCUAGUUGGUGGGGUAAAGGCCUACCAAGGCGACGAUCCAUAGCUGGUCUGAGAGGAUGAUCAGCCGCAUUGGGACUGAGACACGGCCCAAGCUCCUACGGGAGGCAGCAGUGGGGAAUAUUGGACAAUGGGCGCAAGCCUGAUCCAGCCAUGCCGCGUGAGUGAUGAAGGCCUUAGGGUUGUAAAGCUCUUUCACCGAUGAAGAUAAUGACGGUAGUCGGAGAAGAAGCCCCGGCUAACUUCGUGCCAGCCGCCGCAGUAAAAC
rnacentral:rRNA from 1 species